rnacentral:rRNA from 1 species
AAAUUGAAGAGUUUGAUCAUGGCUCAGAUUGAACGCUGGCGGCAGGCCUAACACAUGCAAGUCGAACGGUAACAGGAAGAAGCUUGCUGCUUUGCUGACGAGUGGCGGACGGGUGAGUAAUGUCUGGGAAACUGCCUGAUGGAGGGGGAUAACUACUGGAAACGGUAGCUAAUACCGCAUAACGUCGCAAGACCAAAGAGGGGGACCUUCGGGCCUCUUGCCAUCGGAUGUGCCCAGAUGGGAUUAGCUUGUUGGUGGGGUAACGGCUCACCAAGGCGACGAUCCCUAGCUGGUCUGAGAGGAUGACCAGCCACACUGGAACUGAGACACGGUCCAGACUCCUACGGGAGGCAGCAGUGGGGAAUAUUGCACAAUGGGCGCAAGCCUGAUGCAGCCAUGCCGCGUGUAUGAAGAAGGCCUUCGGGUUGUAAAGUACUUUCAGCGGGGAGGAAGGGAGUAAAGUUAAUACCUUUGCUCAUUGACGUUACCCGCAGAAGAAGCACCGGCUAACUCCGUGCCAGCAGCCGCGGUAAUACGGAGGGUGCAAGCGUUAAUCGGAAUUACUGGGCGUAAAGCGCACGCAGGCGGUUUGUUAAGUCAGAUGUGAAAUCCCCGGGCUCAACCUGGGAACUGCAUCUGAUACUGGCAAGCUUGAGUCUCGUAGAGGGGGGUAGAAUUCCAGGUGUAGCGGUGAAAUGCGUAGAGAUCUGGAGGAAUACCGGUGGCGAAGGCGGCCCCCUGGACGAAGACUGACGCUCAGGUGCGAAAGCGUGGGGAGCAAACAGGAUUAGAUACCCUGGUAGUCCACGCCGUAAACGAUGUCGACUUGGAGGUUGUGCCCUUGAGGCGUGGCUUCCGGAGCUAACGCGUUAAGUCGACCGCCUGGGGAGUACGGCCGCAAGGUUAAAACUCAAAUGAAUUGACGGGGGCCCGCACAAGCGGUGGAGCAUGUGGUUUAAUUCGAUGCAACGCGAAGAACCUUACCUGGUCUUGACAUCCACGGAAGUUUUCAGAGAUGAGAAUGUGCCUUCGGGAACCGUGAGACAGGUGCUGCAUGGCUGUCGUCAGCUCGUGUUGUGAAAUGUUGGGUUAAGUCCCGCAACGAGCGCAACCCUUAUCCUUUGUUGCCAGCGGUCCGGCCGGGAACUCAAAGGAGACUGCCAGUGAUAAACUGGAGGAAGGUGGGGAUGACGUCAAGUCAUCAUGGCCCUUACGACCAGGGCUACACACGUGCUACAAUGGCGCAUACAAAGAGAAGCGACCUCGCGAGAGCAAGCGGACCUCAUAAAGUGCGUCGUAGUCCGGAUUGGAGUCUGCAACUCGACUCCAUGAAGUCGGAAUCGCUAGUAAUCGUGGAUCAGAAUGCCACGGUGAAUACGUUCCCGGGCCUUGUACACACCGCCCGUCACACCAUGGGAGUGGGUUGCAAAAGAAGUAGGUAGCUUAACCUUCGGGAGGGCGCUUACCACUUUGUGAUUCAUGACUGGGGUGAAGUCGUAACAAGGUAACCGUAGGGGAACCUGCGGUUGGAUCACCUCCUUACCUUAAAGAAGC